rnacentral:rRNA from 1 species
GACGUAGGGCGCGAGCGUUGUCCGGAUUUAUUGGGCGUAAAGAGCUCGUAGGCGGCCUGCUAAGUCAUACGUGAAAUCCCUCGGCUCAACCGGGGAACUGCGUGUGAUACUGGCGGGCUUGAAUUCGAGAGAGGGAUGCGGAAUUCCAGGUGUAGCGGUGAAAUGCGUAGAUAUCCGGAGGAACACCAGUGGCGAAGGCGGCCUUCUGGGCCCGCCCUGACGCUGAGGCGCGAAAGCGUGGGGAGCGAACGGG